AUAGCGUAUAUUUAAGUUGUUGCAGUUAAAAAGCUCGUAGUUGGAUUUUGGUUAAGAGGGCGCGGUCGGCCGUUUGGUCUGUACUGCGUUGUCUUGACUUCCUGAUGAGGACAUGCUCUUGGUUAACGCUGAGACAUGGAGUCAUCGUGGUUACUUUGAAAAAAUUAGAGUGUUCAAAGCGGGCUUACGCUUGAAUAUAUUAGCAUGGAAUAACACUAUAGGACUCCUGUCCUAUCUCGUUGGUCUCGGGAUGGGAGUAAUGAUUAAGAGGAACAGUUGGGGGCAUUCGUAUUUCAUUGUCAGAGGUGAAAUUCUUGGAUUUAUGAAAGACGAACUUCUGCGAAAGCAUUUGCCAAGGAUGUUUUCAUUAAUCAAGAACGAAAGUUGGGGGCUCGAAGAUGAUUAGAUACCAUCCUAGUCUCAACCAUAAACGAUGCCGACUAGGGAUUGGUGGAUGUUAAUUGAUGACUUCACCAGCACCUUAUGAGAAAUCAAAGUUUUUGGGUUCCGGGGGGAGUAUGGUCGCAAGGCUGAAACUUAAAGGAAUUGA
rnacentral:rRNA from 1 species